AUGCCCAUUUUGCUCCCACGCCUCGGCCGGCGCUUGCCGGUGGCCCUGUGCCCGGCGGGAGGGAUCGCCGCGGAGCCCUGCAGCGUGUCCAGCGGGCACGGCCGCGGGUUCAUCGGCCCCAGCAGAGCCUCGCUGCCCCCUGGGACCACGGUGGCCCGCAGCCCACCCUCACCGCGGCCCUGCCUGGGCACCCCCGGCCGUUCCACGUGCACAAAGACGGGGCAGCUCCACCUCUCCAAAACGUCUUCCUCGGCCACCUGCCCUGGGGACGGCGGUGCCCGGCCGCUGAGCUCGCCGGUGGCUGCGAGCACCGUGGAGGACCCAGCCUGGGGGUGCCACCUUGGCAUCGAAGACCCCGCUGCCCAGUCGCUCUGCCUCAGCUGUGUCAUGGGGUGGUCUCCCUGCCUGUCUCUCCCGGGCUUUGCCCUGCAGUCCCUUGUGUCCCCAGCGAACCUGGAGCUACCCCGUGCGGCCCCAAAAACAGCCGUCCUUGGGGAGAAAGGCAUAAGGAAAGCUCCUGGCCCCCAGUUCGGCUGCAGCCACUGGCCUGGCUCGGCUAGGGGCGCAAGGCGGAGCCCCUCAGCACCGCUUCAGCCAGGCGGGCAUAGCAGCCCCAACCCCGAAAGGGUUUGGAGGUUUAAGGGACACCCCACGGCACAGGGUGCUCCGGUCCGCGGGACCGCAGGCUCCCACCCCGCCCCAACAGCAGCCACCCCCGGGGGCCACGAGCCCCGGGCACCUUUGGGGCGCCUGCCAGCUCGCCGCCUGGGACCCCCGCUGCUCCUCCCGUUGCUGCCCCUUCCCAGCAGCGGGGGCCGGCCGGCCGGCUCUGGCCGAGUCUCCGCUCCCCGGGCCCGCGAGCGCACGGCCACUCGGCUCCAGGGUCAGCGGCAAUCAGCCUCCCCCAGCCCCUGCCAGCCCCAGGCCCCCUCGCAUCAAGCAAAAGCCCUCCCGGGGCUGAAGUGCUACUUAUCUUCAAGAGCUUUUGCAAUAAGUCUUUUUAGUAAUUAUUAUUUCUACGGCGUGCUUUUGUUCUUCUUAUUGUCAUUAUUAUUAUUUGCUUCCUGA
rnacentral:lncRNA from 1 species